rnacentral:rRNA from 1 species
CCUACGGGAGGCAGCAGUGAGGAAUAUUGGUCAAUGGACGUGAGGCUGAACCAGCCAAGUCGCGUGAAGGAAGACGGACCUAUGGGUUGUAAACUUCUUUUAUAGGGGAAUAAAGGUAUCCACGUGUGGAUUUUUGUAUGUACCCUAUGAAUAAGCAUCGGCUAACUCCGUGCCAGCAGCCGCGGUAAUACGGAGGAUUCGAGCGUUAUCCGGAUUUAUUGGGUUUAAAGGGUGCGUAGGUGGUUUGUUAAGUCAGUGGUGAAAGUUUGCGGCUCAACCAUAAAAUUGCAGUUGAAACUGGAAGUCUUGAGUGCGGUAGAGGUAGGCGGAAUGCGUGGUGUAGCGGUGAAAUGCAUAGAUAUCACGAAGAACUCCGAUUGCGAAGGCAGCUUACU